AUAUGAAGACGAAUAUGCCCAAGACGAUGCUCAGACAUCUGGAAAUUUCACGGAGGCGGGUGCGCAUGGGCGGGAAUUUUUCAACAA